GUGGUUGACAUCUAGUAUGCCACGUAAGGAAUUUGAAAGCCACAUUUUCUGAAAAUAAAGAUGCAACAGAAAUAAAUAAUAUGCAAAUUUUACAAAAAUAAACAAUCAAGAUAUGGACUUCUAUCUUAAUAUGCUACCACUAUUUUAUUGGCGAGACAAGCGACACCCUCAACACAUGAAACGAAAGUCUCCGGCAGACUUCUAGUGGGGAUCAGGAUUCAAUUAGCGUCUUAGUAUAACCUCGAGGGACUCGACCAAUCACACUAAGCCCGAAUGGUAUGCAACUCUUGUCGAUCACAACUCCUUGUGAUUCCUAUCCUAUUCAGCCUCCGAAUCACCAUGGUCUCGAGGGACUCGACCAACCAUGAUGUUCGGUUAAGUCAACACCAUCGUUACAAGAUGAGUCUGAUUCGAUGAUAUACCCUCGAAGGACUCAACCAAGCAUACCA
rnacentral:lncRNA from 1 species